rnacentral:rRNA from 1 species
GAUGAACGCUGGCGGCGUGCUUAACACAUGCAAGUCGAACGGAAAGGCCGAAGCUUGCUUCGGUACUCGAGUGGCGAACGGGUGAGUAACACGUGGGUGAUCUGCCCUGUACUUCGGGAUAAGCUUGGGAAACUGGGUCUAAUACCGGAUAUGACGAUCUCUUGGAUGGGGUUGUGGAAAGCUUUUGCGGUAUGGGAUGAGCUCGCGGCCUAUCAGCUUGUUGGUGGGGUAAUGGCCUACCAAGGCGUCGACGGGUAGCCGGCCUGAGAGGGUGUACGGCCACAUUGGGACUGAGAUACGGCCCAGACUCGUACGGGAGGCAGCAGUGGGGAAUAUUGCACAAUGGGCGCAAGCCUGAUGCAGCGACGCCGCGUGGGGGAUGACGGCCUUCGGGUUGUAAACUCCUUUCGCAAUCGACGAAGCCUUUUGGUGACGGUAGGUUGAGAAGAAGCACCGGCUAACUACGUG